GAAAAAGGCAACCGAUAUUGCAACGUGACGAGAGAGAAGGAAGACAACACAAAAAUAUUUUGAAUAUGGAAGAGGAUAAGUUUAUUCGAUGGUAGAGGGCUUGAAACCAGCAUUAAGUGGCUACAGUAUUACUCGUGUGCUUGAUAAAGUCUGGGAAGUAUUCUGGUUAGUCGAUGUGAUUAAUAUCCUGGUUCCAAAAGAGCCUGAGUUCUUCAUAUAAAGUGCAGGAAAAAUUGCCUUAAAAUAUUAAAGAGGCAAUCCAACGUUUAAGAGAUUCAUUGCCAAAGAAUGAAUAACAAUGAAAGAAAAUCGAUUGUGUGAAUUCCUUUCAAGUAAUGGUCUGUUUUCC